AGUUCACACCUGCAUGGCAACCGCACUCCCCUGCAAGACAACGCGCCCCACUAAACCCCAAAAAUUGCUCAGAAUUGACUCGAGGAACACAACCAAGAGCCCAAGGCAUUGACCAAACCACCCAGAUCUCAAUCAGAUUGAGCAUCUGUACCUGCAAUAUCAGACACCAGAAGAAUACACAGAGGCAAACAAUGUGAGAGUACAGGAAUGCAACAGCUUCAUAGAGCUGCCCAGCACUCUGGAUGACCUGGUCAAUAUCUAUCCAAAAGGGGACGCUGAUGAGUGGGAGGACAGAGUGGCAUUUGUGAACCUCCUUAAACAGAUGCUGCAUCUUGACGGAUAUCAAAGACUCCCGCCUUGUGAAGCUCAGCAGCAGCUGUUCAUCACAAUGAGCCACCUGACUGAGCUCUCUGAGAGCAGAGACUACCUGACGGCCUCCCAGACUAAAACGGGUCUCUCUCCAGUGGAGGAACUUGAUCGGGAGUCAGACACUGGAUAUUGUGACACCACUUCAAUUGCGUAGCCUUUUAAUAUUAAACUUUUUUUCCCUUAAAUAUAUUUGGAAACCGAUUGUUUCAGCUGUAGUCUCUACCACGGAAACUGGUAUGUUACGUUGUCUGUCAAAAGUUGGGAAAAUCAAAAAGACAAAAUUGUUCUGAACAUUUAAGAAAAAAAGUUUUACAGCCUGGUGACUCUACUUGAAUGUUGAACAAACUCAUUCCAACCUGAAAUAUGUCCACAUCACUUGCUCAGUUACGUCAGUGCUCAGUGUACCGACCUGACAGCGUCAGUCAGAUAGUGCCAGCACAGGUAGAUGGUUCUGGAGCUGUACUGGAUGGACUGGUAGAGAGACACAGGACUGGAGCGAGUGAGGUAGACACUGGCCUGCUCUGUGUUACUGUACAACACUGACACAGAAAGACGAGGGAGACAUGAAGGGAGGAUGCAGCCUGUUUGACAAUGUACUGAAUGUCAAACAGAUAAAAAUGAAAUAAAAGCUAAUGAUAAGACCAUUUGCAGUUAAAUAUGAGACAUAACCAGAGGUGAAACUUCACUGGUAAUUUCAAUUAAGUCAAAAUCUUUUCAUAUUUUAUACAUUAGGGUAUAAAAUAUCAAAAGCACAGUUUAGAAUAAAUGAGGCCCAUCACUUGUACUACUAGACAGCUGACUUGCAUAUUCUGAUAGUUGUAUUAUAUAUAUAUAUAU